GUGGAUAUAGCUCAGUUGGAAGAGCGUCUGGUUGUGGCCCAGAAGGUCGUCGGUUCGAGGCCGACUAUCCACCCCA
rnacentral:tRNA from 1 species